rnacentral:tRNA from 1 species
GCAUCCGUAGCUCAGCUGGAUAGAGUACUCGGCUACGAACCGAGCGGUCGGAGGUUCGAAUCCUCGGCCCGAAGGGCGA